rnacentral:lncRNA from 1 species
CGUUUCAAAUUUUAGAAUUUUAAUUAAAUGGACGAAAAUAAAUUAAAAAUUAAAAAUAUUAAUUUUACAAACAAAUUCUAACCUAUGGUUAAUCACUUCCCCCACGUGUCAACACCUCACCCCUGCCUUGCAUCGUCAUCAUCAUCUUCAUUCGUAUAAAUAGGAUUUCUACCAGCAACAAUCAGGGCACAAAAAAAGCACUCCUAAAAUCCCUAAGACAAAAUUUAAUCAUGAACUCUAAUCUCAAACUCUCCAAUUCCUCCAUAUCCUCUAAAGUUAUUCCAGCUCCAAAAAUCUCUAACAGUCUCAUAGAGCUCUCUAUCAUUCUUCUUCUUCUUCCUUCGCCAAUGCACUUUCCUCCACCUCUCUAUCCUUGCCAAAGAACCAAAAGAACAAAAAAAAACAACAAUAAGUUAAUAGUAGAGUAAGCACAUCAUAAACAGUUUGGGUUUCACAUAUAUAAAUACUUGAGUUUUGAAACUUUGUGUUACGAAGUUCAACUAUUCUUGUAUACGAGGAACCUAAUUCCAUAGGUUUCUAUAAAUCUAAUGACUAUAUAUUUAACUUUUACUUAUCUAUGUGUGCUAACACUAACUCUUAACACUACUAAGUAAUGUUCCUAUUUCAUCUUUCACUUCCUAAGCAUUGUAUUCUCAUACAGUCAAUCAUCAUUUAUGUUUAAUAAUUGUAUGUCAGUUAUAAUGUUUAUGUGUUGAGUGAGCUUGCGAGCAUUGUAUAGAUCGAAGCACGUGGUUCGAUUGGGUCGUUUAGGGGUGGGUUUCACAACAGACAUUAGAGACUGGGUAUUUUUUUAUGUUUGGAAAUAGGGAUUUCAUCAAAAAAUUAAGAUAAAACUUUUUACCUUACUAUUUUUUCCCUUUCUGUCUGUUUCCUCUCCGGCCCUCGGCAACGAAAUUUUUAUUAUUAUUAUCAUUGCUCUUCUUUUCUCCACCGAUCCCCAACUCUACUGAAAACAGAAACUAAAAUAAAGACAACAAAAAUCAGAGAACGACCAUAAAAGUCAAAAACUCAAACCCUAUAUCUACAAAUCGGGAUUUGCAAAUGACAUGCAAGCUCCAUAUCGAAGUAAAAACGGGGAAAAAAACAUGAGUAGGAAGAACGGUUUAUGUUUUUACCUUUUNNNNNNNNNNNNNNGAACGGUUUAUGUUUUUACCUUUUCUUCUUUUUUCUAUUUUCUUCCUUUGACGUUGUGAGAGAAGAGAGCAGACAGAGGAGCCGCCGUGAAAAUAAAAGGAAAAAAGAGGACAGAAAAGAGAGAGGCCGAAAAAGAAAGACAGAAAAAAGAGAAAAAAAAAAGAAAAAAAGAGGAGAGGCGGCAGCGACGGAGGAGAGGAAAAAGGAGGGAGAUAAAGAAGGAAGAAGGAAAAAAAAGGAAGAAAAGGGGAGGAAAAAAAGAGAAAAAAGGGGAGAAGAAGCGACGACGUUGGAGGAGAAGGACAAAGAAGAGAGAAGAGAGAGGAUUUGGGAGAAAAAGA